CACACAUUUCACAUACACAUUUCAGGAUGUUGACAUGGGCCACUUCUUGCUGAAGUGUCAAGUGAGGGGCCAAAGCAAUAGAUUCAGGUGCCAGCAUGUUUAUGAAGCAAAUUCUCCCACGGGCAUAACUUACCAAAGGAAUGUGAGCAAACUAGUUCCAAGACUCGUUGACCCCUUCAGCCAGACGAGGUUACCAAAUGGUGUAAAAGUGUGAGCAGAGAGAGGAUUUGGGAAAGGUUUCUUUGGAGGGAGCUGUUGCUGUCCAAGCAAAGGAGGCAUCACAGAGGAUGCUCUCUGCUUCCACUCUAGUCUAACGGUGGUGAGAUCUUCCAUGGGACCGUUCACAGAGGUUGAAAUGUGUUCCAUGCAUAGGCUGGUGCCUAAUGCCCACCUGAGAGGGUGAAAGCAACCUGUGGCCACAAAAGAGAAGCGGCUGCCUUGGGAUGGAUGAGCACUGCUAGCGUUUGUCAAAGGAAGCAAGAGGAAGACUUAGAAUUGAGAAUAAAGAUAAUGGAGUAAAGGAGGAAGCGGAGGAUCAAGGCUGCCCCAGGGAGAGAAGCCCAAGGCCUUCUGGCCUACCUGCCAUCUAUACCAGCCUCCAGGAAGUAUAGGACGUCCUGACCUGAUUCAUAUCUAAAGUUGUACAACCACACGAUAACCAGGCCCCACCUGCCCUGACACCAUUUUAAGGACUUUUUUACAUGAUCUUUCCUUUGUUUUGUAAGAAAAUAACUCACAUAUCUGUGCCUUAUAAAUUUAACCCUACUGCUAACCCAUUGCAGCUCUUCACUGCCCACGGGUCCUGUCCCCAUGCUGCAGCCCUCCACUGCCCACGGGUCCUGUCCCCAUGCUAUUCUCUGAAUAAAGGAGCACUACUACCAGACCUUGAGAGUCCACAAAAUCUUUCUUUCUACUCCUCACCUCCCUGAGCCCACAUCAAUGAUAACUGAUUAAUUUGAACUUACUGUAGUAAUCGUAGUAAGCAGAGGAAUAAGAGGGUAUGCUUGCUGUUUACAAUGCUUGUAAUAUUUCGGAAAGUUUAGCAUAUUAGCAAAUC
rnacentral:lncRNA from 1 species